ACCGCGAGGUGGAGCGAAUCUCCAAAAAUUGUCCCAGUUCAGAUUGCAGGCUGCAACUCGCCUGCAUGAAGUCGGAAUUGCUAGUAAUCGUGGAUCAGCAUGCCACGGUGAAUACGUUCCCGGGCCUUGUACACACCGCCCGUCACACCAUGGGAGUCGGUAACACCCGAAGCCUGUAGUCUAACCGCAAGGAGGACGCAGUCGAAGGUGGGAUUGAUGACUGGGGUGAAGUCGUAACAAGGUAGC
rnacentral:rRNA from 1 species